rnacentral:lncRNA from 1 species
GAGAAAUAGUCUUGAGAAGAAACCAACAUGUAAAGGAGCUGACACUUGGAUCCUGUGCAUGUCUCUCAUCUACACCAGAGACACUAGAGAAUUUCCACUUGCAGGAGAUCUGGCUAGAUGCCAUACAUUAGGUGAUUUUGCACUCAUUUACCAUUCAGGACACUUCAGACUCUGUGUGGAAUUUUUGAUGCUGAGUAGAUCGGAAGCAGUAUCUGAGCCAGUGGGGUGCAAUUCCAGAAAGGGAAAAGAAAAGAUGGAGCCAGAGGGGCCCUGAGAGAUCAUGCUGUCCAACCUGUUUAUUUGAUAAAGGAGUAAGCUUGAAGCCUAAAACCAAAAUGGCGUAGGCAAGUGAAAUAACUUGUUCAAAGUCAAAUAGCUAAUAAUAAGCAGAAACAGGAUUGGACCAACCAUAAACAAAUGACAUUUCAGUCCCACAACAGUGAAUUCCAAGGUACCGCCUUGAUUCUUCGAUUUGUCCUGAAAAUUGUCUAUAUCAAAUAUUGAAGUCAGUCAAACUUACUGUGUGUCAAGUACUGGAACAACAAAGGAAGACCUUGACUCUGAGAGAUUUACACUCUAAUGAAGGAGACAAUAUGCAAACAGCUAUAUAUAAACAAGAUAUAACGAGGAUAAACUGGAGACAAUCACAGAAGCAAAAUCUUUGAAAUCUAUAUUUAUAGGAUAUGUAUAACAGGUGGUUUUGUUGUUGUUAUUGGUUUCUAGUCAAGUCCAACUAUUCAUGAUCCCUUUUGGGGUUUUCUUGGCAAACUUAUGGGAAUAGUUUGACAAUUUUUUUCUCUAACUCAUUUUAUAUAGAUAAGGAAACCGAGGCAAACAGGAUUGUGAUUUGCCCAAGGAAGCAUAACUAAUAAGUGUCUGAAACCAGAGAAUUCAGGUGAUCCUAAUUUCAUGAAUGUACUCCCUCCACUGUGCC